CCGGGAUGGACCGGGAUGGCACGGUUCCAGCGCGUUGCCCUCUCUACUGGACCCAAUUCAGUACAUAGAUCCAAGAGCUCAGCAUUAGGGAAUUUCAAUCGGCAUAUUUGCUAGUCAUCGUCAU